UGGGGAAUAUUGCACAAUGGGCGAAAGCCUGAUGCAGCAACGCCGCGUGAGUGAUGAAGGUCUUCGGAUUGUAAAGCUCUGUCUUUUGGGACGAUAAUGACGGUACCAAAGGAGGAAGCCACGGCUAACUACGUGCCAGCAGCCGCGGUAAUACGUAGGUGGCGAGCGUUGUCCGGAUUUACUGGGCGUAAAGGGUGUGUAGGCGGAUGUUUAAGUGAGAUGUGAAAUACCCGGGCUUAACUUGGGUGCUGCAUUUCAAACUGGAUAUCUAGAGUGCAGGAGAGGAGAAUGGAAUUCCUAGUGUAGCGGUGAAAUGCGUAGAGAUUAGGAAGAACACCAGUGGCGAAGGCGAUUCUCUGGACUGUAACUGACGCUGAGGCACGAAAGCGUGGGUAGCAAACAGGAUUAGAUACCCUGGUAGUCCACGCCGUAAACGAUGAGUACUAGGUGUAGGAGGUAUCGACCCCUUCUGUGCCGCAGUAAACACAUUAAGUACUCCGCCUGGGAAGUACGAUCGCAAGAUUAAAA
rnacentral:rRNA from 1 species